GAUCCCGAUGGCCCGAUCCGGCGGCGGUAAGCGGACUUGAAAUCCGGCAAGUGCGGGUUCGAAUCCCGUCCGGGUACG
rnacentral:tRNA from 1 species